AUUUUCGUGCACUUCGGCAACUUUCCCUUUGCGCGAGCCGAUCGUUACACGGUGCUGCCAAGUCGGCAAAACUCCCCACUCCACCAGCAACAGCCUAGGCUUACCUGGCGCCGCCAGCGGCAGCGGGAAGCUUUGUGCCACGUGAGAAAGCACCAUGCGCAGUCGCAGCCAAGCGCCGCUCACUGUUCCGAGCCACCUUCCAUCGAGCUCCGAACGGAACUCACAAUGUCGGCGGCCACGACCCGAGUGGCGCCUGGCUCCUCUCUCUCAUAGAAACGUCGCGUACGGCGUUCCGAUCGACGGGCGGCGGGCCAAGCAAGGUGAGCGGSUCCUGACGUGCGUCACGAACCGAACCGCCUCACCGGACCACCACCACAGCCAUAUUUACGCGAGUCCUGCGACCGCAGGUUUACCGGCACGCGCU
rnacentral:rRNA from 1 species